GUCAGGAUGGACUUUGUGCACAAAACUAUAAUAAGAAAUUUUUCAAUAUGAAGAAUACAGUCGUUCUUUUUGUUCUUGUUGUUUUUGCAGUAGGUAUAAAAGAGUCUAUUCAAGGGAUAUGUACUGACAACUUUUGUUCUAGCACUAAAGACAGCGCUGCUUGUAAUGGAUGUUGUAUUGGUAUUGGAUGUAGUUCUGGUGGGAAAUGCAGUGUAAAAAAUGGAGUAACUGGCUGUCAUUGUAAUGGAUGUACUUCCAUAAAAGAACC